rnacentral:rRNA from 1 species
GCAGUAAGGAAUAUUGGUCAAUGGAGGCAACUCUGAACCAGCCAUGCCGCGUGCAGGAAGACGGCCCUCUGGGUUGUAAACUGCUUUUAUUCGGGAAUAAACCUAGAUACGUGUAUCUAGCUGAAUGUACCGAAGGAAUAAGGAUCGGCUAACUCCGUGCCAGCAGCCGCGGUAAUACGGAGGAUCCAAGCGUUAUCCGGAUUUAUUGGGUUUAAAGGGUGCGUAGGCGGCCUGUUAAGUCAGGGGUGAAAGACGGUAGCUCAACUAUCGCAGUGCCCUUGAUACUGAUGGGCUUGAAUGGACUAGAGGUAGGCGGAAUGAGACAAGUAGCGGUGAAAUGCAUAGAUAUGUCUCAGAACACCGAUUGCGAAGGCAGCUUACUAUGGUCUUAUUGACGCUGAGGCACGAAAGCGUGGGGAUCAAACAGGAUUAGA